rnacentral:lncRNA from 1 species
AUUUGACAAGUAGUGUUAUGAACCGCGUGUUAGAAAUAAAUAUUUUGUAAAAACUUUAAAUGGAAAAAGAAAGUUUAUAAAAAUGUUUUUUUUGUUGGUUUUGCAGGAGAAACUCGAAGAUGAGUCAUCAGUGUCAGUGUCAGUGAAGAGUGGACCACUGCAAAUGUGCAAUGCAAUCAUCAUCAUCAACAUCAUCAUCAUGAACCAGACCAGGUCCAGUGCCUUGCCGUCUUUAGACCCUCUUCUCUCCCGUCUUGCGUGGCUUGCCCUUGCCUUUUUUGUUCACCC